CAACCCUUAACUACUAUUGGAUGACUCUAUAAAUAUAUAGAAGACAUCAUGCUCGGAUUAGUAACAAGAAUAUGAGAUUCUCCUAAAUGUAAGUAUAAGCCACACCAGACAAACUAACGGCAAUUAACAUUAAUGAACCUAUUACAACAACUUCACUAGAAAAACUUGUAACAUACAAUGUUAACCUAACACAAGAACAUUUCAGGAAAGAUUAAAAGGAGAAGAAGGAACUCGGCAAAACCCAACCCCGCCUGUUUACCAAAAACAUCGCCUCUUGUUUAAGUAUAAGAGGUCCAGCCUGCCCAGUGAUUAUUUAACGGCCGCGGUAUCCUAACCGUGCUAAGGUAGCACAAUUACUUGUCCUUUAAAUCAGGACUAGAAUGAAUGACAUCACGAGGGUUGUACUGUCUCCUUCACCCAAUCAGUGAAAUUGACCUCCCCGUGAAAAGGCGGGGAUUAAAAUAUAAGACGAGAAGACCCCAUGGAGCUUUAGACAUAGGGCAAAUUUAAACUAUAUUCCCCUAAGUAUUAAAUAUAUGUCUCCAAGUCUUCGGUUGGGGCGACCGCGGAGUAAAGAACAACCUCCAUGACGAAAAUCCUUAUCCAAGAACCACAUUUCUAAGAAACAGCAUACUGACGUCCACUGAUCCAAAUCCUGAUCAACGAACCAAGUUACCCUGGGGAUAACAGCGCAAUCUACCUUAAGAGUUCAUAUCGACAGGCAGGUUUACGACCUCGAUGUUGGAUCAGGAUCCCCUAGUGGUGCAGCCGCUACAUAAGGUUCGUUUGU
rnacentral:rRNA from 1 species